ensembl:lncRNA
CUAAAAACAGGUUAACGCAGGGGUUCCCAAACUUUCCCAGGGCAAGGCCCUCCAAAUGGCAUUAACAUUUGACCGAGGCCCCGCUUUUGCAAGAUGUCUUUAAAACAAAUUAAAAAUACAGACUUCUGAAUAUAUCCCCUUUGUUAUUUAUUAAUAAUUACAUCUAACAUCUUUACAUUACAUUGGGAAUUGAUGUUGUGUGUGUGGCUGUCUGAGAGUGAGAAUUUAUUUUUCACCCUAAAUUGUUGAGGCCCCCCGAGCCCCUCCCACUUGCUGACGUCAACGCUGACGCGCACGCCCUUUAAAAGUCUUGUAGCACGUGAUUGUGGUCUUUUCUCCCGCAGGAGCGCUGGAAGUACAAGCAAGGUGAGUGUACGGAUGUUCUGAAAGGGUAGUGAAACUCCUUGGCGCGGCCUUAAACCAAAACGAACGCGGUAUUAGCACGUCAGAAAGCUAAAUUCUGAGUCAUUGCGUCGCAUUCGCAACAACUAACGUUAUCAAAAUCAGUAAUUCUAUAAUUAAGAUAUAUAAUAUUUAUGGCUUGUUAAAUGUGUAUCUUGGUUUAUUAUCUAAUUUAACUCACUACCCACAUGUGUAGCUCUUUUAGCUGCUAAAUGCUAACUACAUGAAUAACCGAGUUAUCGUGGUAUCACAUGAGUAAUGAGUUAAAUUAUAUAACAAACCGAGAUGCACUUAACAGAAAGCAUAAAUAUAUAUCUUAGAAUUAUUAAUUUUGAUAACGCUAAUUGUUGCAGAUGCGAAGCAAUGACUCAGCUAACUAGCUAAUCUGCUAACACCACGUGGCGAUUUGGUUUAGUCCGCGCCAGGAAAGUUGAACCACCCUUUCAGAUGAGAAUUUAUUCCGCUUUGUCCGUUAAAAGCGUUGUACAAAUAAAAAUUUGCGACAUAUUUACCGGUUUGCCUAAAAACAAAAACUCGUACAGGAUAAAUCCUGUAUAACGUCCUCCUCACUAUACGCGUGCACUGCGAGGGGAGGAAGCCGCGCGUGUGCACCCUAUUAUGUAGUGCUCUAAGCGGCGGUUUAGGAUCCAGCCUUUUCGAGCGAGCGAUCUAGAAAGUUUAGUAGCCUUGCCGUUUCUCGGAUUUAACUUUUUUUUUUUAAGACAAAGAUGUAAUUUCUUUGUCGUCUCGUAGGGUAUUGCGGCUUAAUGUAGAAAUAAAAAUUGCUCGGAUUGAAUGCGCAUGACUAGGCAGCUACAUGGCUAAUGCUAAUGGCGUGUGUAGUUUUGGUUUAGGCCAAGAUAUUUACUCUACUUUCAGAUGUAGUUAUCUGCUGCGAUUAUUGGCGUCUCUUCUCGCUGUUCCAGACGGGGAAGCUUUAUUCCGUACCGGCGAUUAAAAUUCGGGACGUAUUUCCGGGUAGCUAUUAGCAGAAAAAAAAACCAUUAACAUGGACGGCGCUCUUUCAGUGGGCGGGGCUUGACUUCCUUUCAGAGCGCCUCCCAUUCAAGCCAAGUCGACAAGUAUAGAUUUAAGGUGAACGCUUUUUUUUAAGAACCCCUCCCCCUGUGCCAAAUGUCAGCAGGUAUCGCAGUGAAAGUUAGAAGAAGAAGAAGAAGUAGAAGAAGAUCAAGAUACAAGAGAACGUGAGAUGACACCACGUCCCUCCCACAGCUGGACCAGUGCUGCACACCUUCUGGAAGGGAACUUGGGGCAUUACCCUGUACUGCCUCUAGGUUUGAAGAUGGAGGCUGCAGAAGAUGACCUCUUCAACACCAAUCCUGACCUAGAGGAGAAAGGCCUCAAAGACAAGCUUCAAGACUGUAUGCUCCAGGAGCAGAAGAAGCAGAUGAAGUUUAGCAUCGGCAGCAACAAGAUUAUAAUAAUUGUGGUAAUCAUUACUCCAUAUGGAGUGAUAAUU